rnacentral:rRNA from 1 species
AACUAACCUGGUUGAUCCUGCCAGUAGUCAUAUGCUUGUUUCAAAGAUUAAGCCAAGCAUGUUUAAGUAUAAAUGAUUUUUUACAGUAAGACUGCGGAUGGCUCAUUAUAUCAGUUAUGGUUUAUUUGAUGAUCCUUGAAUGGAAAUUCAGCCAGCGCUUUACAUGAUGAUCAGCUUCGGUUGGUUGGAGUGGGGGUGUUGGUUUUCAUUCUACUAAUUGGAUAACUGUAGUAAUUCUAGAGCUAAUACACGCUUCAAACCAUGACUAGGUGGGUAACCAUCUGGAAAUGGUGUAUUUAUUAGUCUCAAAGCCAAGACGAUCACUUCGGUGGUCGGUUUCAUUGGUGAAUCAGAAUAACUAUCACGAACCAGAACGCCAUUCGUGGUGAUUUCUGGUGGUUCAUUCAAAUUUCUGCCCUAUCAUACUUUCGAUGGUAGUAUAGAGGACUACCAUGGUUGUAACGGGUAACGGAGAAUUAGGGUUCGAUUCCGGAGAGGGAGCCUGAGAGACGGCUACCACUUCUAAGGAAGGCAGCAGGCGCGCAAAUUACCCAAUCAGAAAUUCUGGAGGUAGUGACAAUAAAUAACAAUACAAGUCUUAUUUAAGUCGUGUAAUUGGAAUGAGAGCAAUUUAAACCCCUCAUCGAGUAGCAAUUGGAGGGCAAGUCUGGUGCCAGCACCCGCGGUAAUUCCAGCUCCACUAGUAUAUACUAAAGUUGUUGCAGUUAAAGAGCUCGUAGUUGGAUUCAAGAUUUUGGAUGACUGGUCUCACGUUAAAUUGUGAUGUACCGUUGCUCAAUGUCUUAUUUUUCUUGUAAAAAGUCUUCCAGUAAUCGCCUACUGCCAUUGAUUUGGUGGGUUGGGAUCACGGUUCUGGAUUCUUUACUCUGAAAAAAUUAGAGUGUUCAAAACAGCCAAGUAUUAUUUGGCAUUGAAUAGAUUAGCAUGGGAUAAUGGAAAAGGAUCACGUCACUUUUUCAUUGGUUUAUAGUGGUGUGAUAAUGAUAAAUAGGAACAAUCGGGGGCAUUAGUAUUCAGUUGUCAGAAGUGAAAUUCUCGGAUUCUCUGAAGACUAACAUCGGCGAAAGCAUUUGUCAAGGAUGUUUUCAUUAAUCAAGAACGAAAGUCAGGGGAUCGAAGAUGAUCAGAUACCGUCGUAGUCCUGUACCAUAAACUAUGCCGACCAGCAAUCCAGUUUAGUUACUAGUUCCAUAUCGUCUCACGAUGAUUUGGAUGGAUGACAUUCCGGGCGGCUUGUGAGAAAUCAUAAGUGUUUAGGUCCUGGGGGGAGUAUGGUCGCAAGGCUGAAACUUAAAGGAAUUGACGGAAGGGCACCACAAGGCGUGGAGCUUGCGGCUUAAUUUGACUCAACACGGGGAAACUUACCAGGUCCGGACAUAGAAAUGAUUGACAGAUUGAGAGCUCUUUCUUGAUUCUAUGGGUGGUGGUGCAUGGCCGUUCUUAGUUCGUGGAUUGUUCUGUCUGGUUGAUUCCGAUAACGAGCGAGAUCUCUGCCUACUAAAUAGUCGGAUUAUUUUUGCUGUGGCUUUCGAGCUAAGCUUGAGGUGAUAGCGUUGGACCUGCUGCUUCGGUGGUAUGGACCCCUUUCAUCUCAAGUAGUAGAAAUGGUUCUGGAGAUGUUGCUUUCGAGUGAUGUUUCAUUUGUACUUCUUAGAGGGACUAUUGGGCAAUACAACCAAUGGAAGUGGGAGGCAAUAACAGGUCUGUGAUGCCCUUAGAUGUUCUGGGCCGCACGCGUGCUACACUGACUGAUUCAACGAGUUUAUUAUUGUCCUUAAUCGAAAGGUUUGGGUAAUCUUUAUCAAAGUCAGUCGUGCUGGGAAUUGACCAUUGUAAUUAUUGGUCAUGAACGAGGAAUGCCUAGUAAGCGCAAGUCAUCAGCUUGUGUUGAUUAUGUCCCUGCCCUUUGUACACACCGCCCGUCGCUUAUACCGAUUGAAUGAUGUGAUGAGCACGUCGGAGUUUGACUUCGUCAAAAGGUUUGAGGUAACUUGGACCUUGAGGUCUGGGCAAAGUCGUGCAAAUUUUAUCAUUUAGAGGAAUAAGAAGUCGUAACAAGGUAUUCGUAGGUGAACCUGCAGAAAGGAUCA